rnacentral:rRNA from 1 species
UACGUAGGGGGCAAGCGUUGUCCGGAAUUAUUGGGCGUAAAGCGCGCGCAGGUGGUGGAUUAAGUUGUGGGUAAAAGGCAUUGGCUCAACCAAUGUAAGCCUGCAAAACUGGUACACUUGAGUGCAGGAGAGGGGAGUGGAAUUCCCGGUGUAGCGGUGGAAUGCGUAGAUAUCGGGAGGAACACCAGUGGCGAAGGCGACUCUCUGGCCUGUAACUGACACUGAGGCGCGAAAGCGUGGGUAGCGAACAGG